GUGAGGAAUAUUGGACAAUGGGCGCAAGCCUGAUCCAGCCAUGCCGCGUGCAGGAAGACGCAUCUAUGGUGUGUAAACUGCUUUUGUACGGGAAGAAACACUCCCUCGUGAGGGAGCUUGACGGUACCGUAAGAAUAAGGAUCGGCUAACUCCGUGCCAGCAGCCGCGGUAAUACGGAGGAUCCAAGCGUUAUCCGGAAUCAUUGGGUUUAAAGGGUCCGUAGGCGGUUUAAUAAGUCAGUGGUGAAAGCCCAUCGCUCAACGAUGGAACGGCCAUUGAUACUGUUAGACUUGAAGUACAAGGAAGUAACUAGAAUAUGUAGUGUAGCAGUGAAAUGCUUAGAUAUUACAUGGAAUACCAAUUGCGAAGGCAGGUUACUACUUGUGGAUUGACGCUGAUGGACGAAAGCGUGGGGAGCGAACAGGAUUAGAUACCCCGGUAGUCC
rnacentral:rRNA from 1 species